rnacentral:rRNA from 1 species
UACGAAGGUGGCAAGCGUUGUUCGGAUUUACUGGGCGUACAGGGUGCGUAGGCGGUUCGGUAAGCCCUCUGUGAAAUCUCCAGGCUUAACCUGGAACAGUCGGAGGGGACUGCUGGGCUAGAGGACGGGAGAGGAGCGCGGAAUUCCCGGUGUAGCGGUGAAAUGCGUAGAUAUUAGGAAGAACACCAGUGGCGAAGGCGGCUCACUGGCCCGGUACUGACGCUCAUGUGCGAAAGCGUGGGGAGCAAACAGG